GGAUGAACGCUGGCGGCGUGCCUAAUACAUGCAAGUCGAGCGAACAGACGAGGAGCUUGCUCCUCUGACGUUAGCGGCGGACGGGUGAGUAACACGUGGAUAACCUACCUAUAAGACUGGGAUAACUUCGGGAAGCCGGAGCUAAUACCGGAUAAUAUAUUGAACCGCAUGGUUCAAUAGUGAAAGACGGUUUUGCUGUCACUUAUAGAUGGAUCCGCGCCGCAUUAGCUAGUUGGUAAGGUAACGGCUUACCAAGGCAACGCUGCGUAGCCGACCUGAGAGGGUGAUCGGCCACACUGGAACUGAGACACGGUCCAGACUCCUACGGGAGGCAGCAGUAGGGAAUCUUCCGCAAUGGGCGAAAGCCUGACGGAGCAACGCCGCGUGAGUGAUGAAGGUCUUCGGAUCGUAAAACUCUGUUAUUAGGGAAGAACAAAUGUGUAAGUAACUAUGCACGUCUUGACGGUACCUAAUCAGAAAGCCACGGCUAACUACGUG
rnacentral:rRNA from 1 species